rnacentral:lncRNA from 1 species
AUGUUUUGUCUGGUGGGAGUCCUACACUUACGUUUUCUUGGUUUGUACUUCAAUCAUAACAGUAAGAACAACUGGCAUAAAAGAAUUCUGGAACAAGCAGAAGUGACCCUUGAAAGGGAAGACCUGAGGCUUUCAACGUGGUGUUCUUUUUUGAGUUUAAGUAACUGGCUGCCAAUGAAAACCUUUCCUGCCGACUGCAGGCAUGUGGACAGAACCCACCAGCCCCCUCGACACUGGUUGUCCUACUACAGGGACAUGGAUGAACCUGGAAACCAUCAUUCUCAGCCUACUGACACAAGAACAGAAAAUCAAACACCACAUGUUCUCACUCAUAGGUGGGUGUUCAACAAUGAGAACACAUGGACACAGGGAGGGGAGCAUCACGCCACACUGGGGUCUGUGUGGGGGAACUAGGGGUGGAGGGACAGUCGUGGGUAGGGAGUUGGGGAGGGAUAAUAUGGGGAGAAAUGCCAGAUAUAGGUGAUGGGGAGGAAGGCAGCAAACGACAUUGCCAUGUAUGUACCUAUGCAACAAUCUUGCAUGUUCUUCACAUGUACCCCAAACCUAAAACGCAAUAAAAUACAUAUUUUUUUUAAUUAGCAUUAUAAUACUAAGGUGCUAAAGACAAAAACAAAAAUUAUUUAUCAUAUUCAAGGCAAAAAUAAUAAUUUAAGUUUCUAAAAAUGUGCAAGUUUUUAUAUAACUGAAAAAGGUGUUCACAAGCCAAUAGAGGUUGGGAAGUGUUUUCUAGAACAUUUAUUGUAUUGCAUGCCAGUUACAAUUCUUUUGCUGGAACAAAUAUAACAUUCUUAAAGCCCUGCAGUAAAACUUGGAAGUUUUUCAACUCAGGCUCCCGUCUCAGCUAGGAUUUGAUUCAGGGAAAACUACAUUCCAGAAACAAGCUGUUCCUAUCUGUGCGAACUGAGCACUGCCGCUAACUGCUUCCAAGGCACUUCUGGUACCUGCUCAGGGCCAUGAGACUUUCUAGAAUCCAGGGCAAAGGGUGAUACAGUUGAGGUUAGCCUCUCCUUAGUAGAAAAGAAAUCAAGCCACUAGGCAAAAGAAAAAAAAAAAAAGGCUCCAAACUCCAAACGGAAUGGGAGAAAUAUGUACUUUAUCCAAAUAAGCCAUCCCAAUAAUACUGCUAUAAACGGAAAAGACUUUGUCGUCAAGAAAUUCCUUUAUUAACAUUUGAAUGAUGCUUUACAGUUUACAAAGUGCUUUCACUCAUAUUACUUCACUUGAUGUUGAGGGGGUGGGAGAGUAGGGGGUGAGGUGCAUUAUGUUUUGUUUCAGAUGGCAUUAAGUGGCUGCCUAGAACUGGGAAACAGAGCUCCUUCCAUGUGCUGUAAGCAUCAUAGAUCCUUCUGUGUUCUCAGAACCACCCCCAAAUACUCUAUCACUGUACUUACCACAAAGUGAUGUAAAUGCCCAUGCUUUUGCUGUCGCUUCUUCCUCCCACUUUACUGUUCCCCCACUCCAGUAGUUUAUGAAAUCUUUAAGUGCAGGAAGCAGGCCAUUUACCUCUGUGUCCCCAUCUUCUGGGUACACGGUAGGCACUUCACAAAUGCGCUUAUCAGAUAGGUGCAGAGGGACACCAACAUAGACAGCUUACCUAGGACAGCAGCAGAAUAAAGAGAGGAAUGAACAUUGUGGCAAUUAUGAUGCAGCUGUAUCAUUCAUUAGAUUAUAUACUCUUUGAGGCACUGCAGUGCUCAUGUCUGAUUUCAGUUUGUGUCACUCAAGAUAUGUCUCUUACACAGUAGUCAAAAACUUAAGAAUGCAUUCCUUUGCUCAUCAAAUAUUUACAACCAUGUGUAAU